rnacentral:misc_RNA from 1 species
CAGAGUUGCAAAACUCCCUAAACCAUUGUGAACCUACCCCUAAACAGUUGCUUCGGCGGCGCCCGGACAGGCCCGCCGGAGACCACUAAACUCUUGUUCUUUUAACACUGGCCUCUCUGAGUUUACUGUACUGUAAUAAGUCA